AAGUUAGGAUGAAGUAACUAUAGGUUUGGUAGUAUUGCUGAUGAUGCUGGAAGCUAUUGUGGGACAGCAGUUGUGUCAUGAGUUCACUGGGUGAGAUAAGCAUUGCUGACAUGGCUGAUGUGUCCAACACAUAGCAACAAGAAAAAAAUCUAAGUAUCUUGGCCAACAAAGACAAGAGAUGGCUUUGACAUGUCGGCUCCAGUAGACUUGGCUAUUUGCCUAAGUUCUUCCUCGAGCUUCUCAUCGCUCACGUUAACCAGUUGCGUUGCAAGAGGCUCCCAGCUCUGUUCGAGCAUUUCACCAAGAGGAUCAAUCAGCUUGACUCCAUUAUCUGGUUCAGGGUUGUGUGACGCAGUAAUCAUCAACCCGAUCGCUGCUGAGCCUUUUACUCUUGAACGAAGAGAAGCAAGAAGACCCAUGCGAAAAACAAGGUUUAAAAAGUACGGAAUAUUAGAGGCUGGAGAUUCUAAAAACUAAGGGGUUUUUCUUACAAAAUGGAUCUGAGAGGGGGCGUGACCUUAACUGAAAGUUAACUGAAACUCACGAAUCGCCGACAAAGUUACGAUUGUACCGUACCGUAUUGAAUUGAGAUAAUCUGAAAGGUUUGUUUAUGCAUACCGUUUAUCUUUACAAAAUUGCAUGGCAAUAAAAUUCGUAUUAACAUACAUAAAUAUAAACUAUUUAUCUGUAUUUUUUUAUUUUACAUUAUAUUGAUUUAUUGAUGAAUAUGUAAUAUACUGUAUUAAAAUAAUACAGUACUAUACUUAUAUUUAAGAUAUGCUUAUUAUAAAAAAAACAUGCAGCCCUAGCGAACAGAAUUGUAAAAUUUUAAAUAAAUAA